CAUUGCUACAUCACAUCCCGUACGAUCACUGAAGUUAAGCAACGUCGAGCUUUGUCAGUACCUAGAUGGGUGACCGCUAGGGAAAACAAGGCGCUGUA